GGGGGGCAGAAGCAGGGUCGGCUAGUACUGGGAUAAUACUACUGACCUACCAAAGAGUGCUGUUGUAAGGAUUACUGAUCCAUCAGUAUUUCUUACACUCUAUUGAAGUUUCUCAAAGUGGGCACAUGGAAGUUUCUUAAAGCACGCAAUGGAACAAUAGGAAAUAGUUGAACAGCGUGAGCACAGCUUAUGGGGUUUUUCUUCCCCCCUAAAGCCUCUUCUCUUCUUGGAUGCUACUAGGAACACCUGGUGAUGAGGUUGCAUUGGGAUUUGACAGUAAUCUGUCGGCACAUCGUAAACAUCAGGUGCCUGAAGUAUUACGAACGAUCUGUACUUUAUCUCAAAAUGUUACAGGACUGCCUACUAUAGCCAACCAUGGUUACUCGCAGCUUGAGCAUUUCUUGCAAAAUGGGCUUUUUUGUUGCAGCUGUUCAAUAAAAAGCUGCAGUCAUGG